rnacentral:rRNA from 1 species
GUUAAAAAGCUCGUAGUUGGAUUUCUGCGGGGCGGCGCGAUCUAUACUCUCAGCUACCUUCCCCGCAUCCUGCCGCGAACCGUGCUACCAUUAGUUUGGUGGCGCUGGGGAUCGGCUCGUUUACUUUGAGAAAAAUAGAGUGUUCAAAGCAGGCCACACGCCUUGAAUAAGUUAGCAUGGAAUAAUGAUAAAGGACUUCGGUUCUAUUUUGUUGGUGUUCGGGACUGAAGUAAUGAUUGAUAGGGACAGUUGGGGCGGUCAGUAUUCCAAAGCGAGAGGUGAAAUUCUUAGACCUUCGGAAGACUAACAGCUGCGAAAGCGUUCCGCAAGGAUGUUCCCUUUGAUCAAGAACGAAAGUUAGGGGAUCGAAGACGAUCAGAUACCGUCGUAGUCUCAACUAUAAACUAUACCAGCUAGGGAUCGGCCGACGUUUACUUUAUAUCGACUCGGUCGGCACCUUAUGAUAAUCUAGCUCUGGGUCCGGGGGGAGUAUGGUCCA